rnacentral:rRNA from 1 species
GUCGUGAGAUGUUGGGUUAAGUCCCGUAACGAGCGCAACCCCCUAUCGUAGUUGCUAGCAGUUCGGCUGAGAACUCUAGGGAGACUGCCGGUGACAAACCGGAGGAAGGUGGGGAUGACGUCAGGUCAUCAUGGCCCUUACGGCCAGGGCUACACACGUGCUACAAUGGCGCGCACAGAGGGCUGCAAACCCGCGAGGGGGAGCCAAUCUCACAAAACGCGUCGUAGUCCGGAUCGCAGUCUGCAACUCGACUGCGUGAAGUCGGAAUCGCUAGUAAUCGUGAAUCAGAAUGUCACGGUGAAUACGUUCCCGGGCCUUGUACACACCGCCCGUCACACCAUGGGAGUGGAUUGCACCAGAAGUGGUUAGUCUAACCUUCGGGAGGACGAUCACCACGGUGUGGUUCAUGACUGGGGUGAAGUCGUAACAAGGUAACCGUA